rfam:Mycobacterium holsaticum strain M7 PROKKA_contig000132, whole genome shotgun sequence.
CCUCGGCCAUCAGCUGCGGGCAGAUCAGGUGCACGUGGCAGUCGAUGCCGCCCGCGGUGACGAUGCGGCCGUUGCCCGCGAUGAUCUCCGUCGCCGGCCCGACCACCAGGGCCGGAUGCACGCCCGCCAUGAUGUCGGGGUUGCCGGCCUUACCGAUCGCGACGAUGCGUCCGUCCCGGAUACCGAUGUCGGCCUUGAUGAUUCCCCAGUAGUCGAUGAUCACUGCGCCGGUGAUGACGGUGUCGGGUGUGCCGUCGGCCCUGGUGGCCCGGGACUGUCCCAUCGACUCGCGCAG